rnacentral:rRNA from 1 species
UACGAAGGGUGCAAGCGUUGUUCGGAAUUACUGGGCGUAAAGCGCGCGUAGGCGGGUCUGUAAGUCGAUUGUGAAAUACCUGGGCUUAACCCGGGAAUGGCAGUCGAAACUGCAGAUCUUGAAUGUCUGAGAGGAUGGCGGAAUAACCGGUGUAGUAGUGAAAUACGUAGAUAUCGGUUAGAACACCUGAGGCGAAGGCGGCUAUCUGGCGGUACAUUGACGCUGAUGCGCGAAAAGCGUGGGGGAGCAAACAGG